AACUGUCAGUCAUUCAGUAUAUAGUGUUUAAGUUCUAUCACUGGGUGUUUGACAGAUCU
rnacentral:pre_miRNA from 1 species